AUGGCGAUUAUUAGAGAAGCCUCUUCUUCUGCUCCUCCUCCUUCCACCCAUCCAUGGAAAUACCAUGUCUUUUUGAGUUUCAGAGGUGAAGAUACCCGCAACAACUUCACAGGCCAUUUGUGCAGUGCUUUGCGUCACAAGGGAAUCAACACAUUCAUGGAUGACGAGCUCAGAAGAGGAGAAGAUAUCUCUACAGCGCUUCUCCAAGCAAUCGAAGAGUCGAAGAUAUCAAUCGUUGUGCUCUCUGAAAACUAUGCAUCCUCCAAAUGGUGCUUGGAUGAACUCGUCAAGAUCCUCGACUGCAAAGAAUCAAAACAGCAACUGGUCCGGCCAGUUUUCUUCAAAGUCGAUCCCUCGGAUAUACGAAAUCACAGAGGCAGCUUUGGUGAGGCACUUGCAUACCUUGAAUACAAGUUCAAGGAUAACAUGGAGAAAGUGCAGAAAUGGAAGGCAGCUCUUACAGAAGCGGCAAAUUUGUCUGGGUGGACUCUAUCAGACCAGUGUUCUGAAUCCAGUGCUAUUGAAAAAAUCAUUGAAGAGAUUUCAGAGCAAGUCAUAAACAGUACAUAUUUGGAUGUGGCCAAGUACCCAGUAGGGAUGAGAGCUCGUGUGCAAGAGAUCCAUAAGCUUUUAGGUGCUCCAGGAAGAGAUGUUCAUAUGUUAGGGAUAUGGGGGGUUGGUGGAAUAGGCAAGACAACAGUUGCCAGAGCUGUCUUUAACUCAAUCGCUCAUAAAUUUGAUGGGUGUUGUUUUUUAGAAGAUGUUAGAGAAAAUUCAAAGGGAGCUAGAGGCUUAGUCAAACUACAAAAGAUACUUCUCUGUGAAAUUCUAAGGGGAACAAAAUUGGAGGUGGCCAAUGUAGCUAGAGGUAUCACUAUGAUCAAGGAAAGGUUGCAAUACAGAAGUGUUCUCUUGGUUCUUGAUGAUGUGAAUGGCAUGGAUCAGUUAGACAACUUAGCUGGUCAAUGUAGUUGGUUUGGUAAGGGUAGUAAAAUCAUCAUAACAACGAGGGAUAAGCAAUUGCUGAGAGGUCAUAGUGUUGAUUUAAUAUACGAGGUUCAAGGAUUGGCUCGAGGUGAAGCUCUUGAGCUUUUUUGUAUGAAUGCCUUUAACAGAUGUCGACCUUUGGAUGGUUAUGCAGAACUCACAGAACUUGCAGUACGCUAUGCUCAAGGCCUUCCAUUGGCUUUGGUUGUUUUAGGUUCUUCUCUAUGCAAUGAAAACGUAGAGCUGUGGGAAGCUGCAUUAGAUGGUUUCAAAAGUAGUAAAAUUCAAGAUGUUUUAGAAAUUAGUUACAAUGGAUUGGAUGACAGAGGGAAGGAAGCUUUUCUUGACAUUGCAUGUUUCUUUAAAGGUGAAAACCGAGAAUGUGUGACAAAAACACUAGAAGCUUGUGGCAGCAAAAGGUAUGUUAUUAAUGUGCUCAUAGAAAAGUCUCUCAUUAGUAUUAGAUCCGGGGGUGACAUUAUUUGGAUGCAUGACUUGCUAGAAGAAAUGGGUAAAGAUAUAGUUCACAGACAGUCACCCAAUGACCCUGGAAAGCGUAGCAGGUUGUGGUUUCAUGAAGACGUUUACCGUGUUCUAACAGAUAAUACGGGAACCAACAACGUUAGAGGCAUUAAGGUGAAGCUACCUGAGCAUUCAGGUGUUGUAUGCUUUAGUGGCACCACUUUCUCUAACAUGCGAAACUAGACUGUUUAUAUACCGUGCUGGAAGCUAUUCUGGAGUUGUUGAUAAUAUGCCAGAUAGCUUGAGGGUAGUUGAUUGGCCUGACUGUCGCUUACAAGUUUUGUCAUCCAAUCUUCCAAGAGAACUUGCUCUACUCAAUAUGCCUAGGAGUCGCAUCACAGUAUUGGGAAAUGGACUCAAGGUAUGCUCUUUUGGAUCGUUUCACAUAUUUAUGCUUGAGGCUUUUCCAACGGAAGUUAGUUGGAAAUCCAUGAGGGAGGUUCAGCUUGGUUAUUGUCCGAGGCUUAAGAACUUCAUAAACAUUGUGCAUAAGAUGGAAUCUAUUAGAGAAUUGAAUCUAUAUGGAAGUGGCAUAAAAGAACUCCGUUCAUGGAUUGGAUAUUGCACUUCCUUGGAAGUUUUGAAUUUGCUUGGAACUCCAGUCAGACAACUGCCUUCAACAAUUGGGUAUUUAACAUCCUUGGUGAAACUGGAAGUGUCCGAAACUCUCAUUGAAGAACUGCCUUCAACGAUUGAAAAUCUUACUUCUUUAAGAGACUUGAAGCUGUCUGAAACUCUCCUCAAACGAUUCCCAUCAUCGAUUGGGAGUCUCACAUCCUUGGUGAAAUUGGACGCGUCUGAAACUCUCAUUGAAGAACUGCCUUCAUCAAUUGGGUGUCUCACUUCUUUAAGACAGUUCAACCUGUCCAAAACUCCCCUUAAAGGAUUUCCAUCAUCAAUGGGGUGUCUCACUUCCUUGGAGGAAUUGGAUGCCUCUGAAACUCUAAUCGAAGAAUUGCCUCCAUCAAUUGGGGAUCUCACUUCUUUAAGAGAAUUGAAUCUGUCUACAACUUCCAUCAAAGAAUUGCCAUCAUCAAUCGGUAACCUCACUUCCUUAUUUCAAUUGAAUGUGUCCAAAACUCCCAUUAAAGAACUGGCUUCAUCAAUUGGUUGUCUCACUUCCUUACUGAAAUUGGACGCUUCUGAAACUCUCAUUGAAGAAUUGCCUUUGUCAUUUCGAUAUCUCAUUCGCCUUCAACAUUUAAAACUAAAAGGAUGUGCCAACCUUACAAAUGUGUCGCACAGUGUUUAUGGAGGGCUGCAACAUUUAGAAGGACUAGACCUCUCUUGGUGCCCUAAACUGGUUACAUUUCCAAGAAUGAUGAGCACAUUGGUUUCAUCUAGUGCAGAAUCACUUCCUCUGAUGCUUCAAAACAAUUCAAACAAUGGGCAUGAUGAUUGUGGUCGAUUAUUGUUUCCCCAGCUAGGGUGUCUACGUUUUGAAGAAUGCAAAUUAUCAGUCUCUGAUUUCCUUUCGGAUCUUGACUGUGUGUCCACAUUAGAGAUACUUAAUCUAUCAGGAAGUAGUUUUGAUAGCCUUCCGAUUUUCAAAAUUGUCAAAUGUACUGCAACAGAAAGACACUCUGGGACUUCUUUGGAGGAUGCACUUGUCUAA